GUGCCAGCAGCCGCGGUAAGACAGAGGGUGCAAACGUUGUUCGGAAUGACUGGGCGUAAAGCGCAUGUAGGCGGCUCCGCAGGUCGGAUGUGAAAUCCCUCGGCUCAACCAAGGAAGUGCAUUCGAAACCGCAGAGCUUGAGUCCUCGAGAGGAAGGUGGAAUUCUCGGUGUAGAGGUGAAAUUCGUAGAUAUCGAGAGGAACACCGGCGGCGAAAGCGGCCUUCUGGAGAGUGACUGACGCUGAGAUGCGAAAGCAUGGGGAGCAAACAGGAUUAGAUACCCUCGUAGUCC
rnacentral:rRNA from 1 species